GGGGGGAUUAUUUGCCCAACAGCCCCCUGUUAAACACUGCCACCUUAUGGACUGAGAAACAGCUACACAGAGAAGUGAGUACUUGCAACAAACAAGAGCUGUGGUCUAACGUUCCAGCGAGCUUUCACCUGGUUUUGGCCCAAAGACAACAGUUUUUGUGCAUAAGGCCUUGAAUAAGGAAGAUGGGAAUAAGGAAAUCUAAAGUUGGCUACAUCUUCCCAUGGCAGAGCGCUGGAGAGAGAUGCAACUGUCCUCCUCCCUCCUGCUGAGGCAUGUAAAGGAUUAAAGAAAAGGAAUACUUGAAUUCUUACUUUGUCAUGUGGUUCACCUGUUCUUCUGAAGUAUUUCCAAAGCUAGAAGGAAAAGGUGCACAUACUUACACGCCUGGCAUUACUUUGGACAUGGUUCCAAAAUGUUUAUUUGAGCAUGUACAUUUUAGAAUGAAAAAAUGUAUAUGCAAGACAAUGACCAUCGAUGUGUUAAGGAGAAAAAAAAACAACCCACCAGCUAAGAUGACUCAAAAUUGCUUUUUGAGAUGAUGAUAAAAGGAAGACACUGAAAAAAAAUUUUGUGUCAAGAUGCAGAUCUGGGAAGAAAAAAUCCACCUCAGAAUUUAGUCGGUAAAACAGUUCGCAUUUUUUUGUGGUUGUUGUUAAGGUAAAUUCCCCUUUUCCUUUUUUUUUAUGGUUUCAUUCACUAUGUUUGAGUUUUCAAACUACAGAACCCUUCAAGUUUCUGUACCUGCAAGCCACAGGAUCCCCUCGACAACUCAACAUGGAUGUAAAGCUGAAAGAUAGUUUGAGAAAAUUGCAAAUUAAAUAUGCCCUACAUGUAAGGACAUUCCUUGACAAUCAUUUCAAGGUGGUAAUUAACCUCAGACUCAAAAUUAGAGGCCACGGCUUAAGAUCAGGCUCUAAACCGAUGGAGACUCGAACAAAACAUCUGACUGACAGCAGGGUGUUCUACCUGUGGUACCCCACAACGUACGGGGAGUGGGGAGGGCUAUUUCAAAGGAAACAGAACUUGCCCCCAUCCCCUCCCACAGAGCCACUGGUGCGUUUGGCCAAGGGGCACUGACCUCUCCGCCCAUCCGCUUGUCUCCACGCACCCGCGCUGCUGUUAACAGCUACGCCUUCGCUGCCCCUCUCUCCCGAGGCAGAAACUGAAGUCCUCUGUUAAGCAGACUUGCACCUGAGGACAGUAUGCAGCAAUUGAUUUCUAC
rnacentral:lncRNA from 1 species